GGGCCGAUGGUGUAGUUGGUUAUCACACCUGUCUAACACUUGCAUGUGUGCACAGGCGGUCCUCAGUUCGAACCUGGGUCGGCUCA